rnacentral:rRNA from 1 species
CCUACGGGUGGCAGCAGUGGGGAAUAUUGGACAAUGGGCGAAAGCCUGAUCCAGCCAUGCCGCGUGUGUGAAGAAGGCCUUCGGGUUGUAAAGCACUUUCAGUGGGGAAGAAAGCCUUGGGGCUAAUACCCUCGAGGAAGGACAUCACCCACAGAAGAAGCACCGGCUAACUCCGUGCCAGCAGCCGCGGUAAUACGGAGGGUGCGAGCGUCAAUCGGAAUUACUGGGCGUAAAGCGCGCGUAGGCGGUCUGAUAAGCCGGUUGUGAAAGCCCCGGGCUCAACCUGGGAACGGCAUCCGGAACUGUCAGGCUAGAGUGCAGGAGAGGAAGGUAGAAUUCCCGGUGUAGCGGUGAAAUGCGUAGAGAUCGGGAGGAAUACCAGUGGCGAAGGCGGCCUUCUGGACUGACACUGACGCUGAGGUGCGAAAGCGUGGGUAGCAAACAGGAUUAGAUACCCCUGUAGUC